GAUGAAGAACGUAGCGAAAUGCGAUAAGUAAUGUGAAUUGCAGAAUUCAGUGAAUCAUCGAAUCUUUGAACGCACCUUGCACCCUUUGGCAUUCCGAAGGGUAUGCUCGUUUGAGUGUCAUUGUACUCUCACACUUCUGAUCCUUUGGAUUGGGAGCGGUGGACUUGGGUGUUGCUGCUUUACUGUGGCUCACCUCAAAUGCAUUCGUGCAACUCUUGGUUGGACAUAGUACGGCGUGAUAAGUAUCUUCGCCGGCACCUCGCAAGAGGGUGGCUGAUCAGGAGCUCUGUGCUUUCCAACUGUGUUCAGACAACAACUGACAACUUGACCUCAAAUCGAGUAGGACCACCCGCUGAACUUAAGCAUAUCAAUAAGCGGAGGA
rnacentral:misc_RNA from 1 species